rnacentral:rRNA from 1 species
UACGGGGGGGGCAAGCGUUGUUCGGAAUUACUGGGCGUAAAGGGCGCGUAGGCGGCCUGCUAAGUCGGACGUGAAAUCCCUCGGCUCAACCGGGGAACUGCGUCCGAUACUGGCGAGGCUUGAAUCCGGGAGAGGGAUGUGGAAUUCCAGGUGUAGCGGUGAAAUGCGUAGAUAUCUGGAGGAACACCGGUGGCGAAGGCGGCAUCCUGGACCAACACUGACACUGAGGAGCGAAAGCCAGGGGAGCAAACGGG